GGUGAUAGCAUAGUGAUUAUGCAAAAGACUUUCAUGUCUGAGGCUUCAAGAUCCCAGGUUCAAUCCCUGGUAUCACCA
rnacentral:tRNA from 1 species